GGCGAACGGGUGAGUAACACGUGGGUGAUCUACCUUCGAGUGGGGGAUAACGUCCCGAAAGGGACGCUAAUACCGCAUGACGUUCUGGGUUUGAAGACCUGGAAACCAAAGCCGGGGACCGCAAGGCCUGGCGCUUGGAGAGGAGCCCGCGUCCGAUUAGCUAGUUGGCGGGGUAAUGGCCCACCAAGGCGACGAUCGGUAGCCGGCCUGAGAGGGCGGACGGCCACACUGGAACUGAGACACGGUCCAGACUCCUACGGGAGGCAGCAGUGGGGAAUUGUUCACAAUGGGCGCAAGCCUGAUGACGCAACGCCGCGUGGGGGAUGAAGGUCUUCGGAUUGUAAACCCCUGUCGAACGGGACGAAAGACUCGGGAGCUAAUCAUCUCGAGAGUGACGGUACCGUUAAAGGAAGCCACGGCUAACUCUGUGCCAGCAGCCGCGGUAAUACAGAGGUGGCAAGCGUUGUUCGGAAUUACUGGGCGUAAAGGGCGCGUAGGCGGCCAUCUAAGUCAGACGUGAAAUCCCCCGGCUUAACCUGGGAACUGCGUCUGAUACUGGACGGCUUGAGUAUGGGAGAGGGAUGUAGAAUUCCAGGUGUAGCGGUGAAAUGCGUAGAUAUCUGGAGGAAUACCGGUGGCGAAGGCGGCAUCCUGGACCAUUACUGACGCUGAGGCGCGAAAGCUAGGGGAGCAAACGGGAUUAGAUACCCCGGUAGUCC
rnacentral:rRNA from 1 species